ACAAGAUGCCACAUUUGCUCAGCGUUACGAAGGGCUGAUCUAUGUGAAUCCUGCUGCCAAAUGAAUGUGUGUCUACUUAACCCAUGUAAAAAUAAUGGUACUUGUUCACCAGUUGAUAACGGUUACAGCUGUAAUUGUGUUACAGGAUAUUUAGGAGAAAACUGUGACGUAAAUCCCUGUGAUAUAUACAACCCCUGUAUAAAUAAUGGCACGUGUUAUCCAUCAGAAUUUGGUGUGAAUUGUAGCUGUCCUCCUGGAUUUAUAGGAGAAUAUUGCCAAGAUUCUGAUGACACAACACCAGUUAAAGAGGUGAGAGUAUGUAACGUGACAGAGUGUAAUGCUAAAGGUGGUACUUGUUACACAGUUAAAUGCCUUACCCCCGAUGGUA